CAUAUACAGUACCCGCUGUGUUAUUUAUGUUAUUAAAAACUGCGAAAUCCCUGCCGGAGCUUAACUUUGGGGAUGUGUACGUCUUUGAGGAGAAUCCAACCCCUGCUACCAAAAUGAAAGCGUACAGUAAAGAAAGAGAGGAAGUGAGAGAGAGCGUGAGGAUGACAACAGGGCCAGGGAGAGCAGGUGACAUGGAGAGAGACAGAGGAAGAGAGAGAGGGAGGAAGUGACCUAUAUAGAAAGCUGUUCCGAGCCCCAUCCAGCUCCAGCUGCCUGCUGCAUUUCAAGAAGGGGGCUCCUAUGAAUAAUGCAGAGAAUGCCUCAACACCCUCAACACCACAGCCUUCAAUAAAACCAUCCUUAAUGAGUGUUAAUGACAGUGAGGCGCUGAGACAAUCAAAGGCUGUGUAUGUGUGUGUGUGUGUUUGAGUGUGUGUGUUUGAGUGUGAGAGAGGUGUGUGGAGGCGCAGAGCAGUGCCAUUGCCCUGGGCGCAGUCAAGGUUGCCCUAGGUGAUAUCUGAGACUUUGAAAAGUACAUGAAAGCUCGAGGAACUGACAGGGCAAGCAAACCCAUGGUAUGUGUAGGUUACCUAGGGCGUUAAUGGAAGGACGAUACUGGG
ensembl:lncRNA